UACGUAGGGUGCAAGCGUUAAUCGGAAUUACUGGGCGUAAAGCGUACGCAGGCGGUUGUGCAAGACCGAUGUGAAAUCCCCCGGGCUUAACCUGGGAAUGGCAUUGGUGACUGCACGGCUAGAGUGUGUCAGAGGGGGGGUAGAAUUCCACGUGUAGCAGUGAAAUGCGUAGAGAUGUGGAGGAAUACCGAUGGCGAAGGCAGCCCCCCUGGGAUAACACUGACGCUCAUGCACGAAAGCGUGGGGGAGCAAACAGG
rnacentral:rRNA from 1 species